GUGAAGAACGUAGCAAAGUGCGAUAACUAGUGUGAAUUGCAUAUUCAGUGAAUCAUCGAGUCUUUGAACGCAACUUGCGCUCAAUGGUAUUCCAUUGAGCACGCCUGUUUCAGUAUCAAAAACACCCCACAUUCAUAAUUUUGUUGUGAAUGGAAAUGAGAGUUUCGGCUUUAUUGCUGAAUUCUUUAAAAUUAUUAGGCCUGAACUAUUGUUCUUUCUGCCUGAACAUUUUUUUAAUAUAAAGGAAUGCUCUAGUAAAAAGACUAUCUCUGGGGCCUCCCAAAUAAAUCAUUCUUAAAUUUGAUCUGAAAUCAGGCGGGAUUACCCGCUGAACUUAAGCAUAUCAAUAAGCGGAGGA
rnacentral:misc_RNA from 1 species